rnacentral:rRNA from 1 species
CCUACGGGUGGCUGCAGUCGAGAAUCAUUCACAAUGGGCGAAACCCUGAUGGUGCGACGUCGCGUGGGGGAAUGAAGCCCUUCGGAUUGUAAACCUCUGUUAUGUGGGAGCAAACUAAAAAGCUAGUACCACAAGAGGAAGAACCCGCUAACUCGGUGCCAGCAGCCGCGGUAAUACAGGGGUCUGUAGCGUUGUUCGGACGCACUUGGCGUAAAGGGUGCGGAGGCUGUUUCGUAAGUCGGGUGUGAAAGGCGCGGGCUCAACCCGCGGAGGGCACAUGGUACUGCGAGACUAGAGUUAUGGAGAGGGAGGCGGAAUGCGCGGUGUAGCAGUGAAAUGCGUAGAUAUCGAGAGGAACGCUGGUGGCGAAGGCAGGUUCCUGGACAUUAACUGACGCUGAGGCACGAAGGCCAGGGGAGCGAAAGGGAUUAGAUACCCGUGUAGUC